ACAUUUAAAGAGUGCGUAAUAGCUCACUGGUCGAGUGAAGUUGCGCGGAAAAUUACCGGGGCUAAGCUAUACACCGAAAUUGCGGAUUUACAUUUGAAAGAUAAUGUAAGUGGUAGAGGAGCAUUCUGUAGUAGGGAGAAGCAUAAGCGAGAGCAUGUGUGGACGAGGCAGAAGAGAGAAUGCUGGAAUAAGUAGCGAGAGCAAGGUGAGAAUCCUUGCCGUCGAAAGUCUAAGGUUUCCUGGGGAAGGUUCGUCCGCCCAGGGUAAGUCGGGACCUAAGGUGAGGCUGAAAAGCGUAGCCGAUGGAUAGCAGGUUGAAAUUCCUGCACUAUAGAUAUACUUAAAAGAUGCAAGGGACGCAGGAGUGGAAGAUAAGCGAGGAAGAGGAAAAACUCGUAUCGCAAGAUAUAGUGAAAAUAAAGUAACGAAUUAUCAAGAAGCACACUGACGAGAAAAGCUUGUAGAUAUUGUAUAUAAAUACCCGUACCGCAAACCGACACAGGUAGAUGAGGAGAGGAUCCUAAGACGAGCGGGAGAAGCAUUGUUAAGGAACUCGGCAAAUUGACCCCGUAACUUAGGGAGAAGGGGUGCCAAGGUAACACUUGGCCGCAGUGAAGAGGUUCAAGCAACUGUUUAACAAAAACACAGGUUUCUGCUAAAUCGAAAGAUGAAGUAUAGGAGCUGACGCCUGCCCAGUGCUGGAAGGUCAAAGGGAAGUGUUAGUAAAAACUUACGAAGCACAGAACUCAAGCCCCAGUGAACGGCGGCCGUAACUAUAACGGUCCUAAGGUAGCGAAAUUCCUUGUCAGGUAAGUUCUGACCCGCACGAAAGGCGUAAUGAUUUGAACACUGUCUCAACAAUGUACCCGGCGAAAUUGUAGUACUAGUGAAGAUGCUAGUUACCUGCGACAAGACAGAAAGACCCCAUGGAGCUUUACUGCAGCUUGAUACUGGGUUUUGGUAAUUUAUGUACAGGAUAGGUGGGAUACUAAGAAGCAAGUGCGCCAGCAUUUGUGGAGUAGACGUUGGGAUACCACUCUUAAAUUAUUGAAAUUCUAACCUGUGAUCAUGAACUGGUCAGGGGACAAUGUCAGGCGGGCAGUUUGACUGGGGCGGUCGCCUCCUAAAGAGUAACGGAGGCGCCCAAAGGUUUCCUCAGCACGGACAGAAAUCGUGCGAAAGAGUGUAAAGGCAGAAGGAAGCUUAACUGGGAGACUGACAAGUCGAGCAGAUACGAAAGUAGGGCUUAGUGAUCCGGCGGUAGUGAGUGGAAAUGCCGUCGCUCAACGGACAAAAGUUACCCUGGGGAUAACAGGCUUAUCUCCCCCAAGAGUUCACAUCGACGGGGAGGUUUGGCACCUCGAUGUCGGCUCAUCGCAUCCUGGAGCUGAAGUCGGUUCCAAGGGUUGGGCUGUUCGCCCAUUAAAGCGGUACGCGAGCUGGGUUCAGAACGUCGUGAGACAGUUCGGUCCUUAUCUGUCGCAGGCGUAGGAUAUUUGAAGGGAGCUGUCCUUAGUACGAGAGGACCAGGAUGGACAUACCGAUGGUGUAUCAGUUGUCACACCAGUGGCACGGCUGAGUAGCUAAGUAUGGAAGGGAUAAACGCUGAAAGCAUCUAAGUGUGAAGCCCACCUUAAGAUAAGAUAUCCCAUUGC
rnacentral:rRNA from 1 species